UACGAAGGGGGCUAGCGUUGCUCGGAAUUACUGGGCGUAAAGGGCGCGUAGGCGGACAUUUAAGUUAGAGGUGAAAGCCCAGGGCUCAACCCUGGAAUAGCCUUUAAUACUGGAUGUCUUGAGUUCGGGAGAGGUGAGUGGAAUGCCGAGUGUAGAGGUGAAAUUCGUAGAUAUUCGGCGGAACACCAGUGGCGAAGGCGACUCACUGGCCCGAUACUGACGCUGAGGCGCGAAAGCGUGGGGAGCAAACAGGGAUUAAGAAACCCUGGUAACGUCC
rnacentral:rRNA from 1 species